rnacentral:rRNA from 1 species
UACAGAGGUCCCAAGCGUUGUUCGGAUUCACUGGGCGUAAAGGGUGCGUAGGCGGUCGGGUAAGUCUGAUGUGAAAUCUCACAGCUUAACUGUGAAACUGCAUUGGAUACUAUCCGGCUCGAGGAAUGGAGGGGAGACUGGAAUACUUGGUGUAGCAGUGAAAAUGCGUAGAUAUCAAGUGGAACACCAGUGGCGAAGGCGAGUCUCUGGACAUUUUCCUGACGCUGAGGCACGAAAGCCAGGGGGAGCAAACGGG